rnacentral:rRNA from 1 species
UACGUAGGGUGCGAGCGUUGUCCGGAAUUAUUGGGCGUAAAGAGCUCGUAGGCGGUCUGUCGCGUCGAUCGUGAAAACUUGGGGCUUAACCCUGAGCUUGCGGUCGAUACGGGCAUGACUGGAGUUCGGCAGGGGAGACUGGAAUUCCUGGUGUAGCGGUGAAAUGCGCAGAUAUCAGGAGGAACACCGGUGGCGAAGGCGGGUCUCUGGGCCGGUACUGACGCUGAGGAGCGAAAGCGUGGGUAGCAAACAGG